GACGAACGCUGGCGGCGUGCCUAAUACAUGCAAGUAGAACGCUGAAGAGAGGAGCUUACUCUUCUUGGAUGAGUUGCGAACGGGUGAGUAACGCGUAGGUAACCUGCCUUGUAGCGGGGGAUAACUAUUGGAAACGGUAGCUAAUACCGCAUAACAAUGGAUGACACAUGUCAUUUAUUUGAAAGGGGCAAUUGCUCCACUACAAGAUGGACCUGCGUUGUAUUAGCUAGUAGGUGAGGUAAUGGCUCACCUAGGCGACGAUACAUAGCCGACCUGAGAGGGUGAUCGGCCACACUGGGACUGGGACACGGCCCAGACUCCUACGGGAGGCAGCAGUAGGGAAUCUUCGGCAAUGGGGGCAACCCUGACCGAGCAACGCCGCGUGAGUGAAGAAGGUUUUCGGAUCGUAAAGCUCUGUUGUAAGUCAAGAACGGGUGUGAGAGUGGAAAGUUCACACUGUGACGGUAGCUUACCAGAAAGGGACGGCUAACUACGUG
rnacentral:rRNA from 1 species